rnacentral:rRNA from 1 species
GAUGAACGCUGGCGGCGUGCCUAAUACAUGCAAGUCGAGCGAACAGACGAGGAGCUUGCUCCUCUGACGUUAGCGGCGGACGGGUGAGUAACACGUGGAUAACCUACCUAUAAGACUGGGAUAACUUCGGGAAACCGGAGCUAAUACCGGAUAAUAUAUUGAACCGCAUGGUUCAAUAGUGAAAGACGGUUUUGCUGUCACUUAUAGAUGGAUCCGCGCCGCAUUAGCUAGUUGGUAAGGUAACGGCUUACCAAGGCAACGAUGCGUAGCCGACCUGAGAGGGUGAUCAGCCACACUGGAACUGAGACACGGUCCAGACUCCUACGGGAGGCAGCAGUAGGGAAUCUUCCGCAAUGGGCGAAAGCCUGACGGAGCAACGCCGCGUGAGUGAUGAAGGUCCUCGGAUCGUAAAACUCUGUUAUUAGGGAAGAACAAAUGUGUAAGUAACUAUGCACGUCUUGACGGUACCUAAUCAGAAAGCCACGGCUAACUACGUG